rnacentral:siRNA from 1 species
GAGAAUUGAUACAACUACAGCUGC